GAGGGGCGAGCUUGCCACUGGGGACUAUCCAGGGAGGUGCAGCGCGGUGGGCACCCCACACCCGAGCAGCCCAGGAGCACCAGCAGCCCCUGCCAACGUCGCCCGCGGAGCCCAGGCGAACCGGCCAUGGCAUUACUGAUGCCAUUGAACGGAUUGAAAGAGGACAAAGAGCCCAUCAUCGAGCUCUUCGUCAAGGAAGCCUGCUGACUUGCAGAACUUGGCUCCUGGGACCCACCCACCAUUUAUAACUUUUAACAAUGAAGUCAAGACGGAUGUAAAUAAGAUUGAAGAAUUUCUUGAAGAAGUCUUAUGUCCUCCCAAGUACUUAAAACUUUCACCAAAACACCCAGAGUCAAAUACUGCUGGAAUGGAUAUCUUUGCCAAAUUCUCUGCAUAUAUCAAGAAUUCAAGGCCAGAAGCUAAUGAAGCAUUGGAAAGGGGUCUCUUGAAAACACUCCAGAAAUUGGAUGAAUAUCUGAAUUCUCCCCUUCCUGAUGAAAUUGAUGAGAACAGCAUGGAAGACAUAAAGUUUUCUACACAUAAAUUUCUGGAUGGCAAUGAAAUAACAUUAGCUGAUUGCAACCUGCUGCCCAAACUGCACAUUGUCAAGGUGGUGACCAAAAAAUACUGCAACUUUGAUAUUCCAAAAGGAAUGACUGGCAUCUGGAGAUACUUAACUAAUGCUUAUAGUAGGGAUGAGUUCACCAAUACCUGUCCCAGUGAUAAGGAGGUUGAAAUAGCAUAUAGCGAUGUAGCCAAAAGACUUACCAAGUAAAACAGCAUUUGUGAGAGAGAUGUCUUCUCAUCUUCCCUUAAGAAAAUGCUUUUCCUAACAGACUGCUUCUCUUCCUAUAAAGUAGAAAUUUCAUUUUGCAUGAAUAUGCAGUUAUUUCACGAUUAAGAUAAAGGAUAGACAAAGUAUAGUAGCCAUCUUUAAAUAUACACUCCUAAGCAGUAUUAUUUAAACAGUUUUCACCCUAACUACCUGACCUGUCCACCUGACCUGGCCUGCUCUCCUCUGGUUUGGAGACACUCCAUCACAGACUUUACAUGGUAGAUGUAGCUUGCUGUCUCUCUGGAGCUCUCACUACUGUGUCCUGAAUAUUCACUGUGUAUAGAUGGCAGAACUGUUGAGGUGCAAUGUUUAACUGUAAACUGUUAAACUAGUGCCCAUGACCUUGUCAGUCAGCCCCAAACAGGUGCAUAAUGCAUGGUACAAAGACUAUUUAUGUAUUUUUGGAUUUUUAUACUAUUUACUAAUUGUAUGGGAAAGGAUUGCUACUGUAUCAAAACAUUGUUUCAAGUUUGUCUAUCCUGCAUAUGUCCUAAAGGAAGUCACUACCAGAGAAGAGAACCUUCUACAGACAGUCACUAUAGAUUCUGCAUUCUCACUUUGUACAUGAAUUUUUUACUUUUGCCUGAAAGCAUUUAUCCUUCAUACUAGUCAUAACAUCUGGCACUAUGUAGAAGCUGAAAGCUUAGAGGAAGGAGUGAUAUUCUCAAGCAUUUAUCUGUAUAAGAAGUCAGUGGGCACUUGACAUGCUCUGUCUAAAUGUGUUGUUUUGUUAUAUGUAUUUUGCCCAGUGCCAUUCAUCUGGAACAUAAUUGCUUUAUUUUGAAAAAGCUACUUUUACGUAAGCAUUGACUUUACUCUUUGCAGAUUUCUUGAUGAACACUACCUAUGCUGAUAUUUAGUUGACAUAGCUGUAACAGUAUAAUAAUUAGUAAUGUAAAAAUUAACACAGUAAUUAACCCAAGGAAGGUAAUGUGGGUUUGUCAAGAUAUUGGGUAGACUUCUGUUUCUUAAGUCAGUUUCUUAAGUCAAUUUAUUGGAUAAUCCAAAGGAUGCAAAUCCAUCUUAGCAUGGAAACAUCACAAAUAAACAGAUAAUUAGCUUGCC